rnacentral:rRNA from 1 species
CCUACGGGAGGCAGCAGUGGGGAAUAUUGGACAAUGGGCGAAAGCCUGAUCCAGCAAUGCCGCGUGAGUGAUGAAGGCCUUAGGGUUGUAAAGCUCUUUUACCAGGGAUGAUAAUGACAGUACCUGGAGAAUAAGCUCCGGCUAACUCCGUGCCAGCAGCCGCGGUAAUACGGAGGGAGCUAGCGUUGUUCGGAAUUACUGGGCGUAAAGCGUACGUAGGCGGUUAUUCAAGUCAGAGGUGAAAGCCUGGAGCUCAACUCCAGAACUGCCUUUGAAACUAGAUAGCUAGAAUCUUGGAGAGGUGAGUGGAAUUCCGAGUGUAGAGGUGAAAUUCGUAGAUAUUCGGAAGAACACCAGUGGCGAAGGCGACUCACUGGACAAGUAUUGACGCUGAGGUACGAAAGCGUGGGGAGCAAACAGGAUUAGAUACCCUGGUAGUCCACGCCGUAAACGAUGAUAACUAGCUGUUCGGGCUCUACGAGCUUGAGUGGCGCNGCUACGACAUUAAGUUAGUCCGUCCGUCGGGUAGGUACGGUCGGCGAGAAGUUAAACGUUAAAGUAAAGUUAGUUACGGUCGUUGAGAGUUGCCGACGGCGACGACGAGGGAGGAGG